CACGUAGGGCGCAAGCGUUGUCCGGAAUUAUUGGGCGUAAAGAGCUCGUAGGUGGUUUGUUACGUCCGCUGUGAAAUCCUAGGGCUUAACCCUGGGCUUGCAGUGGAUACGGGCAGACUAGAGGUAGGUAGGGGAGAAUGGAAUUCCUGGUGUAGCGGUGAAAUGCGCAGAUAUCAGGAGGAACACCGGUGGCGAAGGCGGCUCUCUGGACCACAACUGACGCUGAGGCGCGAAAGCUAGGGGAGCAAACAGG
rnacentral:rRNA from 1 species